UAUCUCUGUAGAGUCUGCAUAUCAAUAAGCGGAGGAAAAGAAACUAACAAGGAUUCCCUUAGUAACGGCGAGUGAAGCGGGAAGAGCUCAAAUUUGAAAUCUUCAAGGUUCUACCUUGACGAAUUGUAGUUUAAAGAAGUGUUUUCUGUUAGAUGAGUAGCAAAAGUUCCUUGGAAUGGGACAUCAUAGAGGGUGAGAAUCCCGUAUUUGGUUAUUCAUUCUAGCUUUGUGAUACACUUUCAAAGAGUCGGAUUGUUUGGGAAUGCAGUCCAAAAUGGGUGGUAAAUUUCAUCUAAAGCUAAAUAUUGGCGAGAGACCGAUAGCGAACAAGUACCGUGAGGGAAAGAUGAAAAGAACUUUGAAAAGAGAGUUAAACAGUACGUGAAAUUGUCAAAAGGGAAGCGUUUGACACCAGUGUUGUUUUUCCGAAGAUCAAUUACGAAUGGCUUGAUUCUGUGUUGUAUUGACCUUAUCAGCUUUCUUCACUUUUUUCGAGUCUUUCUUAAUGCACUUUUCGGUUAACAAGUCAACAUCAAUUUCUUUUGUUGUAAAAGAGUAUUCGGAAGGUGGCUUUCUUUUCGGAGAAAGUGUUUAUAGCCCUAUACUUCUACAAUCGGAGAGAUUGAGGUCUGCAGCGUAGAUCCUUCGGGGUUAGAUACACUUGUGCUAAGUUGUAGCUUUUCAUAGACAACUUGUUGACUAUGUUUAGUCAUGCGGCUUACUCGCUUGUGCUAUUUUACCUACGCUUAGGAUGUUGACGAGACUGUCGAUCU
rnacentral:rRNA from 1 species